rfam:Erinaceus europaeus cont1.604271, whole genome shotgun sequence.
CUUAAGUCACUCUUCUGCAUGCUCACUCAAGUGGAAGGUCUUCUGCACUCAACUAAAAUGCUUUUCACAGAUAUCAUUCACAAUUCAAUC